AUGGACCUGUUCAAGUCAAAUUUGGCAAUUAUGCUCCCAUUCGCAGAGAUUAGAGAUGGUCUAGGACUAGAGGAUAGAAUAGCAGAUAAGGGCACAGUUGUGAAUGAACGGAGCCAUCCUGCUGUAGUUGCUGAACAGACAGACAAUGAGGUGGGUUUUGCUGCAAACCUUCCGGAAAAUGAUUCCAUGUCUAGGACAAGCAACCGGUUGGAUGGACUGCUGGCUCCGGCAAAAAUGAAAGAGAUGGGGCGACCAACUACCAGCAGGGAGAAGGCUCCAUAUGAAGGUCUAAGCAAACGGACCAGAUUUUGCACGAUUUGUCGUAGACAAGGUCACAAGCGAACAACGUGCCCUGACCGUGGUGAUUUACCAAAACAACCAAGGAAGCCUGCUAGGUGCAAGAACUGUGGUGUGGAAGGACACCGGCGGAACAAUUGCAAUAAAGCAAUGGAACUAAGACUCGUUGUAGGUAUGGAGGCCAAGUGUCAUCACGCAUGGCCCAGGUAA
rnacentral:rRNA from 1 species